UCCUUUGACCUUUGUUUGCCUUGUGUGUGAUCCCUUACUUGUGAUUGUUGUAUUCAUGCAUUUCAUGCGCAUCAUAACAUUCAUCACACAAAAUUUCAAGGAACUAAGGUGCCAUUUGCAAAUAUUUUCAGACCAUGGAUUGUGGACGAAGGAACACUAAGAAGUACAGUUUCAGAUGUCCAGAUUUGAAAGAGUUAAGGAAGCUAGCAUCUUU
rnacentral:lncRNA from 1 species